rnacentral:pre_miRNA from 1 species
AAUGUACUCCCUCCGUCCGCAAAUACUUGUCAUCAAAAUGGAUAAAAAGAGAUGUAUCUAAAACUAAUAUACGUCUAGAUACAUCCCCUUUUAUUCAUUUUGAUGACAAGUAUUUCCGGACGGAGGGAGUAUGUG